rnacentral:rRNA from 1 species
CACCUACGGGUGGCAGCAGUGGGGAAUAUUGGACAAUGGGGGCAACCCUGAUCCAGCAAUGCCGCGUGUGUGAAGAAGGCCUUCGGGUUGUAAAGCACUUUUAUCCGGAACGAAACGUGCGGGGUGAAUAGCCUCGUAAACUGACGGUACCGGAGGAAUAAGCACCGGCUAACUUCGUGCCAGCAGCCGCGGUAAUACGAAGGGUGCAAGCGUUACUCGGAAUUACUGGGCGUAAAGGGUGCGUAGGUGGUUUUUAAGUCUGCUGUGAAAUCCCCGGGCUCAACCUGGGAAUGGCAGUGGAUACUGGAAAGCUGGAGUGCGGUAGAGGGUAGUGGAAUUCCCGGUGUAGCAGUGAAAUGCGUAGAGAUCGGGAGGAACACCAGUGGCGAAGGCGGCUACCUGGACCAGCACUGACACUGAGGCACGAAAGCGUGGGGAGCAAACAGGAUUAGAUACCCUGGUAGUCCACGCCCUAAACGAUGCGAACUGGAUGUUGGGUGCAACUUGGCACUCAGUAUCGAAGCUAACGCGUUA